AUCAACUUUCGAUGGUAGGAUAGAGGCCUACCAUGGUGGUAACGGGUAACGGGGUGUUAGGGCACGACACCGGAGAGGGAGCCUGAGAAACGGCUACCACAUCCAAGGAUGGCAGCAGGCGCGCAAAUUACCCAAUCCCGACACGGGGAGGUAGUGACAAUAAAUAACAAUACGGGGUCCUAUAGGAUCUCGUAAUUGGAAUGAGUACAAUUUAAAUCUCUUAACGAGGAACAAUUGGAGGGCAAGUCUGGUGCCAGCAGCCGCGGUAAUUCCAGCUCCAAUAGCGUAUAUUAAAGUUGUUGCAGUUAAAAAGCUCGUAGUUGAAUUUCGGGGUCAGUAGGUCGGUCGUGCCACUGGUAUGAACUGGUUUUACUGAUUCCUCCCUCUUGAAGAACUGUAAUGCCAUUAAUUUGGUGUUGCAGGGAAUCAGGACUGUUACUUUGAAAAAAUUAGAGUGUUUAAAGCAGGCUUUAGCUUGAAUACAUUAGCAUGGAAUAAUGAAAUAGGACGUUUGAUCCUAUUUUGUUGGUUUCUAGGAUUGACGUAAUGAUUAAUAGGGAUAGUUGGGGGCAUUAGUAUUCAAUUGUCAGAGGUGAAAUUCUUGGAUUUAUUGAAGACUAACUACUGCGAAAGCAUUUGCCAAGGAUGUUUUCAUUAAUCAAGAACGAAAGUUAGGGGAUCGAAGACGAUCAGAUACCGUCGUAGUCUUAACCAUAAACUAUGCCGACUAGGGAUCGGAUGAUGUUAAUUUUUUAAUGACUCAUUCGGCGCCUUACGGGAAACCAAAGUGUUUGGGUUC
rnacentral:rRNA from 1 species